rnacentral:tRNA from 1 species
CGGGGCGUGGCGCAGCAUGGAAGCGCACCUGAAUGGGGUUCAGGGGGUCGGAGGUUCGAAUCCUCUCGCCCCGACCA